rnacentral:rRNA from 1 species
GACGAACGCUGGCGGCGUGCUUAACACAUGCAAGUCGAACGAAGAGCGAUGGAAGCUUGCUUCUAUCAAUCUUAGUGGCGCACGGGUGAGUAACGCGUAAUCAACCUGCCCUUCAGAGGGGGACAACAGUUGGAAACGACUGCUAAUACCGCAUACGAUCUAACCUCGGCAUCGAGGAAAGAUGAAAGGUGGCCUCUAUGUAUAAGCUAUCACUGAAGGAGGGGAUUGCGUCUGAUUAGCUAGUUGGAGGGGUAACGGCCCACCAAGGCGAAGAUCAGUAGCCGGUCUGAGAGGAUGAACGGCCACAUUGGGACUGAGACACGGCCCAGACUCCUACGGGAGGCAGCAGUGGGGAAUCUUCCGGUAUGGACGAAAGUCUGACGGAGGAACGCCGCGUGAGGGAUGACGGCCUUCGGGUUGUAAAGCUCUGUUAAUCGGGACGAAAGGCCUUCUUGCGAAUAGGGAGAAGGAUUGACGGUACCGGAAUAGAAAGCCACGGCUAACUACGUG